UACGGAGGGGGCGAGCGUUAUUCGGCAUUAUUGGGCGUAAAGGGCGCGUAGGCGGCUGUACAAGUCAAAGGUGAAAUCCCUCGGCUCAACUGAGGAACUGCCUCUGAAACUGUACGGCUUGAGGCCGGGAGGGGGUAGCGGAAUUCCCAGUGUAGCGGUGAAAUGCGUAGAUACUGGGAGGAACACCAGUGGCGAAGGCGGCUACCUGGACCGGUUCUGACGCUGAGGCGCGAAAGCGUGGGUAGCAAACAGG
rnacentral:rRNA from 1 species